rnacentral:tmRNA from 1 species
GGGGCUGACCGGAAUUGACAGCUUGAGCAGGCUGCGUGUAAGCAUGUCGGGAGUUGAAUGAAUCUCCUGUUAAAAAGUCAUUCAAACAACAAUCGGCGAGUCUAACUACGCUAUGGCUGCUUAAUCUAGGUAUUAAGCAAUAGUCAUUGUCCCGCAGCUGCUACUCCAAACCGCGGCUGGGUUCGGGGCAUCGAAAACGCUUGGAUAGCGAUUGCGAAGGUGUGGCGCAACCGCGAAACUAAACACCUAAGGUAAAUUAACAGGUCUGGUGCCGACCUUGAUUUACUCGAAAACCCAACGGCAACUAAGCAUGUAGAAAGCGCGACAGUUUCCUUGUCUGGACCAGGGUUCGACUCCCUGCAGCUCCAC